rnacentral:sRNA from 1 species
GCCGGGGGCGGUGACGCACCCCUGUGAUCCAGUAACUCAGGAGGCUGAGGCAGGAGGAUCAUGGGUUUGAGGCCAGCCUCAGCAACUUAGCGAGACCCUGUCUCAA